rnacentral:tRNA from 1 species
GUUUAAAUAGUUUAUUAAAAAUUUAGGUUUGUGGAACCUGGGAUGCAUAAAAGUGCUUUAAACA